rnacentral:rRNA from 1 species
GACGAACGCUGGCGGCGUGCUUAACACAUGCAAGUCGAACGGAAAGGCCCUGCUUUUGUGGGGUGCUCGAGUGGCGAACGGGUGAGUAACACGUGAGUAACCUGCCCUUGACUUUGGGAUAACUUCAGGAAACUGGGGCUAAUACCGGAUAGGAGCUCCUGCUGCAUGGUGGGGGUUGGAAAGUUUCGGCGGCUGGGGAUGGACUCGCGGCUUAUCAGCUUGUUGGUGGGGUAGUGGCUUACCAAGGCUUUGACGGGUAGCCGGCCUGAGAGGGUGACCGGCCACAUUGGGACUGAGAUACGGCCCAGACUCCUACGGGAGGCAGCAGUGGGGAAUAUUGCACAAUGGGCGGAAGCCUGAUGCAGCAACGCCGCGUGCGGGAUGGCGGCCUUCGGGUUGUAAACCGCUUUCGCCUGUGACGAAGCGUGAGUGACGGUAAUGGGUAAAGAAGCACCGGCUAACUACGUG